AGUGCAGGUUAUAGAGAGCCAGAGAGAGCGUACUGCUCAGGGAGUGCUGGUUAUAGAGAGUCAGAGAGAGCGUACUGCUCAGGGAGUGAAGGUUAUAGAGAGUCGGAGAGAGCGUACUGCUCAGGGAGUGCAAGUUAUAGAGAGCCAGAGAGAGUGUACUGCUCAGGGAGUGAAGGUUAUAGAGAGCCGGAGACAGUGUACUGCUCAGGGAGUGAAGGUUAUAGAGAGCCGGAGAGAGUGUACUGCUCAGGGAGUGAAGGUUAUAGAGAGUCAGAGAGAGAGUACUGCUCAGGGAGUGAAGGUUAUAGAGAGUCAGAGAGAGAGUACUGCUCAGGGAGUGAAGGUUAUAGAGAGCCAGAGAGGAGUGCUCAGGGAGUGCUGGUUAUAGAGAGUCAGAGAGAGCGUACUGCUCAGGGAGUGAAGGUUAUAGAGAGUCAGAGAGAGCGUACUGCUCAGGGAGUGCGAGUUAUAGAGAGCCAGAGAGAGCGUACUGCUCAGGGAGUGAAGGUUAUAGAGAGCCGGAGAGAGCGUACUGCCUAGGGAGUGCUGGUUAUAGAGAGUCAGAGAGAGCGUACUGCUCAGGGAGUGAAGGUUAUAGAGAGCCGGAGAGAGCGUACUGCUUAGGGAGUGCUGGUUAUAGAGAGUCAGAGAGAUCGUACUGCUCAGGGAGUGAAGGUUAUAGAGAGCUGGAGAGAGCGUACUGCUCAGGGAGUGCGAUUUAUAGAGAGCCGGAGAGAGUGUACUGGUCAGGGAGUGCAGGUUAUAGAGAGCCAGAGAGAGUGUACUGCUCAGGGAGUGCAUGUUAUAGAGAGACAGAGAGAGUAUACUGCUCAGGGAGUGCAGGUUAUAGAGAGCCGGAGAGAGUGUACUGCUCAGGGAGUGCAGGUUAUAGAGAGACAGAGAGAGUAUACUGCUCAUGGAGUGCAUGUUAUAGAGAGCCGGAGAGAGCGUACUGCUCAGGGAGUGCAAGUUAUAGUGAGCCAGAGAGAGCGUACUGCUCAGGGAGCGCAGGUUAUAGAGAGACAGAGAGAGUAUACUGCUCAGGGAGUGCAGGUUAUAGAGAGCUGGAAGCGUACUGCUCAGGGAGGUACGAUUAUAGAGAGCCAGAGAGAGCGUACUGCUCAAGGAGUGCAGGUUAUAGAGAGCCAGAGAGAGUGUACUGCUCAGGGAGUGCAGGUUAUAAAGAGCCGGAGAGAGCGUACUGCUCAGGGAGUGCAGGUUAUAGAGAGCCGGAGAGAGCGUACUGCUCAGGGAGUGCAAGUUAUAGAGAGCCAGAGAGAGCGUACUGCUCAGGGAGCGCAGGUUAUAGAGAGACAGAGAGAGUAUACUGCUCAGGGAGUGCAGGUUAUAGAGAGCUGGAGAGAGCGUACUGCUCAGGGAGUGCAGGUUAUAGAGAGCCAGAGAGAGUGUACUGCUCAGGGAGUGCAGGUUAUAGAGAGACAGAGAGAGCGUACUGCUCAGGGAGUGCAGGUUAUAGAGAGACAGAGAGAGUGUACUGCUCAGGGAGUGCAGGUUAUAGAGAGCUGGAGAGAGUGUACUGCUUAGGG
rnacentral:lncRNA from 1 species